UUAAAAAAAAAAAAAAAAGAAAAGUCCUUUUGCUAUUCAGUGCUAGCAAUCAGAGGAAACCGAACAUCAGUAACUUUCUUUAAACAAUUCGAUCGAUAGCUACAGAUGAUCGUCCCCUUUAACUUUCAUCUCCAUGGAUUUUACUUUCCACCUUUUUUUUUCCUUUUGGGUUCUCGACUAUGCAAUCUAAGAUGCAAAAGAACGCUUCUUCUGUUCCACUAAUCAGAAAAUAUUUAAAUAUCGUGAAUAUUCUUGUGUGAGAAAUGGUAGAAUGAUUGAAUUUACAAGUUUUCAUAGUCUAUCAAACAUGCACUUAGUUGAUUGUUUGUCCCUUUUUUUGAAUCUUAUUUUGUAAAACUCUAUUCUUUGUUGCUUGUUUGAUUGCUGGAAAACGUUGUGUUUUUGAGGUAAUUAAAUUUAUUAAUCUUAUUCUGCGGCAGUAACACUCAAUUUUUAUCAAUUCAUUUAUUGUUUAUUGAGGCGUGGGAUCCUUGAAAGCUUUUCUCUUAGAGACCAAACUGAUAGGUUUUCCUAGAGGAUCGAUUUUCAAAUGUUUGUCUAUUCUUAAUCUGCUCUACCUUGUUUGAAUUGAUAAAUCAGAGAAGAUGCAGAGGGAAAGAGAAGGUAGAAACGAUUUCUUUGGCAAGGAUGACCCUUUCAGUAAUUUCCGGGGCUUUGGCAUGAUGCCCAGCCUGUUUGGGGGGAAAGAUCCAUUUGAUGACCCAUUCUUUACUCGCCCAUUUGGGAGCAUGUUUGAAUCUACCAGGCUUGAACCUCCAAAUUCUGGUAGUAGUGAUGCAUUGCAUGCCAAUGGAGCAAACGAAUUAGUUAUAGAAGAACUAGUAUCUGAUGAUAAGGAGGAAAAAGAAAAAGAUAUACACUCUGGCUCAGGCAAAGAACCAUUUAUUGAGUAUCCUGAUGAUGAUUUUGAAGAGGUGAAAAGCAAGAAUGUGAAUUGUAUCCAUGAUGAUAACAAGAUGGAAGGAACUAAGCCGCAGGCUCGCAAUUUCAGUUUUCAGACUUGCAAAGUCACAUAUGGUGGUGUAGAUGGAGCAUAUUACACUUCUACAAGGACCAGAAGGGCAGGCAGUGAUGGAGUGAGUAAAUUUUCUAGUUGAGAUGAAUCAUUUUCAUUUUUUCCUAUUAUAAUGCUGUGAUUUUGUUUCAGGUGGUAAUUGAGGAGAACAAAGAAGUGGACAAAUCAACGGGUCAAGCAACACAUCGGAUCUCUAGAGGGCUUCAUGAUAAGGUUAUUAUCUUGCUAGUGGUACAAUGUGCUCAUUGAAAGAAUUUGGAUAAUAAUUCUAAGUCAUUAAUGAAAUUCAAUAGGUGUUCAAAUGUUUAUGAUAUAAAUUGUCUGUUUUCAAUGAUUAAUGCUCGUUAGUGGACUUUACUUCAUCUUCAUAUGUCUUGUUAUAGUCUAAUUGCAGCACAGGUUACCUGUCAAGUGUCAGUGGCAUUGACCUAUUUCUUUGCUACUGAUUUUUUUUCUUGGGUUAUUUGGAGAAAAUCAACUUUUGAAAAUUGUCUUAUCAAAAAAUGCUCCAGCACUUUUAUUGGAUCUGAUGGGAUUUAAUGAUCAUCCUACUCUUCUUUCUUUGAAUGCUAUCUUUAUUCGCUUUCCUUGUUGUCUGGUUUUUUGAUUACUUGUCAGUUGUCACCCCUAGUUGGUCUUAGAUAAGCAGGGAAGGAACGAAUAACUACUCUAUUAUUGCAUGCGGACAUUAAAGAAAACAUUUUUUAUGGAGGGAUUGAGAUGGUUGUAUUCCUUAUUCAGGGCCAUUCUGUCACAAGGAAGCUUAAUUCAGAUGGCAAGGUGGAUACAUCCCAAACUUUACACAAUCUGAAUGAAGAUGAAGUUGCUGCAUUUGAAGAAGCGUGGAAUGGUAAUGUCAAAGGACAGUUGCCUGGCUUAAGUAAUCAAUUUGAUAUCAAUGGUAAUACAGGUAACAGUAGUCACCUCCUUAUGAGAUGAUGUGUUUGGUCUAGAAUUCGUUUUCCAUUUUUGUUACGGGUCAUUGUGCUUGAAGAUUUUGCACUUCACUGAGUAGGUUUGUGCCUAACAUUCUAGUCUGAGACAUAUGCAUGAUCUAGGCUUUCCUUCAGGCUUACUUAGCCCUUUAGAAGAAAAAAGGUUUGAGUACAGAUUAGAUGAAGGCACGUUUUUCGAGGAGAUAUUUAUCAAUCACGGACCACCAUGAUUGGCCCCUUCAUUGUACAUUUAGUUGUUUCAUUAUUGCAUGCUGUUUUUCCUUUUAUCACCGUAGGAAAUUGAUGACAUAUUUGGUACACACAGACAACAGUAUGGAUCUGGACAAUACGUGAUAAGAGUAUUUCUAUUUAAUCUAAUAGUUAGUCUAGCAUGGGCAUCAAGUUGUUUAGAACAGUCGUUUUGUUUUCAGCUUGUAAUGACAAAAUUGAGAAUGGCAAUGU
rnacentral:misc_RNA from 1 species